rnacentral:rRNA from 1 species
UGGGGAAUAUUGCACAAUGGGCGCAAGCCUGAUGCAGCAACGCCGCGUGAACGAUGAAGGUCUUCGGAUCGUAAAGUUCUGUUGCAGGGGAAGAUAAUGACGGUACCCUGUGAGGAAGCCCCGGCUAACUACGUGCCAGCAGCCGCGGUAAUACGUAGGGGGCUAGCGUUAUCCGGAUUUACUGGGCGUAAAGGGGGCGUAGGUGGUCUUUCAAGUCGGUGGUUAAAGGCUACGGCUCAACCGUAGUUAGCCUCCGAAACUGGAAGACUUGAGUGAAGGAGAGGAAAGUGGAAUUCCCAGUGUAGCGGUGAAAUGCGUAGAUAUUGGGAGGAACACCAGUAGCGAAGGCGGCUUUCUGGACUGCAACUGACACUGAGGCACGAAAGCGUGGGUAGCAAACAGG